GAGAGUAUAGCUCAGUGGUAAAGCAUGUGCGUAGCAUGCACAAGGUCUUGGGUUCAAUCCCCAGUACCACCA
rnacentral:tRNA from 1 species